UACAGAAGGUGCGAGCGUUAUUCGGAUUUACUGGGCGUAAAGGGCAAGUAGGCUGUUGUUUAAACUGGAGACCAAAUGCUGGAGGAUUAAGGUUCAGAAGAUGCUCUAAAGAUUUUUCAACUUGAGCUAAGGGGAGAUUUGAGGUAUCGGAAAGGGAAUAGUUAAAUGUGAAUCUUUCUUGGACCACCAAAGGCGAAGGCAUCAUUUCAUCCUUGGCUGACGCUCAGAUGCGAAAGCGUGGGUAUCAAACAGG
rnacentral:rRNA from 1 species